UAGGGAAUCUUCCACAAUGGACGCAAGUCUGAUGGAGCAACGCCGCGUGAGUGAAGAAGGUUUUCGGAUCGUAAAGCUCUGUUGUUGGUGAAGAAGGAUAGAGGCAGUAACUGGUCUUUAUUUGACGGUAAUCAACCAGAAAGUCACGGCUAACUACGUGCCAGCAGCCGCGGUAAUACGUAGGUGGCAAGCGUUGUCCGGAUUUAUUGGGCGUAAAGCGAGCGCAGGCGGAAUGAUAAGUCUGAUGUGAAAGCCCACGGCUCAACCGUGUGACUGCAUCGGAAACUGUCAUUCUUGAGUGCAGAAGAGGAGAGUGGAAUUCCAUGUGUAGCGGUGGAAUGCGUAGAUAUAUGGAAGAACACCAGUGGCGAAGGCGGCUCUCUGGUCUGCAACUGACGCUGAGGCUCGAAAGCAUGGGUAGCGAACAGG
rnacentral:rRNA from 1 species